rnacentral:rRNA from 1 species
GACGAACGCUGGCGGCGUGCUUAACACAUGCAAGUCGAACGGAAAGGCCCUGCUUUUGUGGGGUGCUCGAGUGGCGAACGGGUGAGUAACACGUGAGUAACCUGCCCUUGACUUUGGGAUAACUUCAGGAAACUGGGGCUAAUACCGGAUAUGAGCUCCUGCUGCACGGUGGGGGUUGGAAAGUUUCGGCGGUUGGGGAUGGACUCGCGGCUUAUCAGCUUGUUGGUGGGGUAGUGGUUUACCAAGGGUUUGACGGGUAGCCGGCCUGAGAGGGUUAACGGCGACAUUGGGACUGAGAGACGGCCCAGACGCCUACGGGAGGCAGCAGUGGGGAAUAUUGCACAAUGGGGGGAAGCCUGAUGCAGAAAUGCCGCGUGCGGGAUGACGGGCUUCGGGUGGUAAACCGCUUUCGAAUGUGACGAAGCGGGAGUGACGGUAAUGGGUAAAGAAGCACCGGCUAACUACGUG